AGCGUAGUGAUCGCAUUGGGGGGCGCUUAGACCAAAUUGGCCCUCGAAUAAUAGAACUCUCGUCAACGCCUCGUUGGAAGGGGAUUCCGCUUUGUUCUUGCCUCUUCCGAGCUUCGUCAUCAUCCAUGGAGUUUCCUCCAGAAAGAUACAGAAGAAACGUUGGGAUUUCUCGCUUUAACUUUUCUGGAAAAAUUUUUGCUGCUUCGUGGCUGAACAGGCAAGAAAUCUUUGAAAUGCCUCAGGUUUCUUCUGAAGUUCACUGGAAAAGACAAAAAGAUAAAUCUUCUGGGUGGAACUGAAAGGAAAGAGUUUGGCAAGUGAUUAUGGAUGUCAUUUGAACAGAUACUAAACCAUGAUGCUAAUUCCCGGAAGCCUUCUUAUGCACAAGUGAUGGAAGAUUUUGGUAACUUCAUACAAGGAAAUGGGGAAGAUGCCAUUUCUUUUAAGCAGAGGGAAACCCAAUUGGUUAGCUGAAGUGUUCAAAUUCUGCUGUUGGAAGAAGUUAAUAUAUUCAUGGAUCGUAAGAUCAUUAUUAUAUGCCAUACGAACCAGUGGUUGUAUUCUUAUAUUUUCAUUGUUCGAAUAAGAAUGCUAAAAUUUCUAAUGCACGUUGUUUGAUCCUUUUGGAAUCUUGACCAGUUAUGGAUUCAUGUUCAUAUUGGGAAAUCUGAGGGGAAGAUAUUGGAAUCAGAACCUUCACACAUUUGUCCAGCUAUAAAAGGAUUGAAGUGUGCAAAUAUGAGAUGUAUCCACAAUGAGUUCAAAUCAUCUCUCAGUAGCUUUGUGAAGAAGAAAAAGAAACUUCAGCACGUGCAUUGAAGCUACCUUUUACUUUUAUGAAUCCAGAGCUGUCCAAUCUCAAGUGAUGAUUUCAUGAACUAAGUCCUCUGGUGUGAAGCCCAACCUAUGUUGAUGCCAAUGGCAUGUUAGAGCUGGUCAUCAAGUGGUGUGUCAGUGAGAAUUGGAGCUUCAAAAGGCAGGAUUGUGAGAUCUCAUGUUUGUUGGAGAGGGAAACGAAGAAACCUCUCCCUAAAAGACCGCCUUUUAAAAUAGUGCAUUUAAAAUUGUAAGUCUAACGAUAGAUACGAGUAAUUAUUGAACCAAUCAAUUAAUAUAAUUAAGGUAAAAAAUGAUCGGUCAAUCGAGUUAGGAAUUGGGGGAUUGAAUCUUAUCCGAAUCAUAACGACUGACUCACGUUCUAAAUCUCCCUACGGUGCAAGCUUGUUUC